rnacentral:rRNA from 1 species
GACAUAGGGGGCAAGCGUUGUCCGGAAUAACUGGGCGUAAAGGGAGUGUAGGCGGUUAUGCAAGUUGAUGGUGAAAGCCCGGGGCUCAACCCCGGAAUUGCCCUCAAAACUGUAUGACUAGAGUGUGGGAGAGGAAGAUGGAAUUCCAAGUGUAGCGGUAGAAUGCGUAGAUAUUUGGAGGAACAUCAGUGGCGAAGGCGAUCUUCUGGAACAUAACUGACGCUGAAAUUCGAAAGCGUGGGGAGCAAAC